rnacentral:rRNA from 1 species
AUUGAACGCUGGCGGCAUGCUUUACACAUGCAAGUCGAACGGUAACAGGUUAAGCUGACGAGUGGCGAACGGGUGAGUAAUGCAUCGGAACGUGCCCGAUCGUGGGGGAUAACGCAGCGAAAGCUGCGCUAAUACCGCAUACGAUCUGAGGAUGAAAGCGGGGGACCGUAAGGCCUCGCGCGAUCGGAGCGGCCGAUGUCAGAUUAGGUAGUUGGUGGGGUAAAGGCCCACCAAGCCGACGAUCUGUAGCUGGUCUGAGAGGACGACCAGCCACACUGGGACUGAGACACGGCCCAGACUCCUACGGGAGGCAGCAGUGGGGAAUUUUGGAUAAUGGGCGAAAGCCUGAUCCAGCAAUGCCGCGUGCAGGAAGAAGGCCUUCGGGUUGUAAACUGCUUUUGUACGGAGCGAAAAGGUCCUUUCUAAUACAAGGGGCUCAUGACGGUACCGUAAGAAUAAGCACCGGCUAACUACGUGCCAGCCGCCGCCGUAA